AAGAAUGGGUUAAGGAAAGUCAGUAUAAAAGUUGACGAUCUCUGGGGUACGAACACAUCGGGUACAAAGGAGACCAAGAAAAUGCACCGACUAGUGAUAUUUUUAUGCGUCCUUGUGCUGAGUACAGCAGUCUUUUGCGAAGACUCCCACGAUAACGCAAAGGGCUCAACAGAACAUCCGAAGUCAUUGGGCGCCAUGAAUUCCACCACACACAAAACGCCAGAACUACCCAAAGCGCCCGACGGCAAAACUUUAACCAACACAAAUGGAAAUAAUUAGCAUUUAUCAUAGAACCUACUUUACGUAUUACAAAAAACAAAAAUAAAUUCAUUUUAAUUCCAGAGGCAUUCGUAUAAGACUUUCUGGCCAGUAUUAUGUAAGAGAUGACAAUCAUAAACGAUAUAUUAAAAAAUGUAAUGCGUAAAAAGGCAGUAUGAUGAUAUUCCAAAAACCAACGAAACAAGGCUUUGAUUACUUGACAAUUUGAUUGUAUGUCUAAAGAUAUCUUAACUUUUAUAUUUAUUUAUAUAUGAAGUAUAUUAAAGUCAGUUGCAUCUGU